CGAGAAGUUCAUUAUUUUGGUGAUGGCAAUGAAUUUCAAUUUUUUUAUUGUUUGGAGAGUUGAGCGUUGUAAGUAUUUUGAUGUAUUUUUGAGUUUUGUCACGAAAUUGCCAAAGGGGGAGAUUGUUACGGAUUUUACGUUGGCAUAUUUUGUGAAGUUAGUCGGAGUCUUGAAUGUUUGAAGAAGAAGAGAUGAAGAUCUAAGACUCGAAGACUCAAAACAUGAAUGCACAAUGCUCGGUAAGUUUAAAUACUAUUGAUGAUGAUUUAUAAAUGUUUAAAAGUGUUUCGAAGACUUAGGAUGGUUUUUAAAUAUGAAUCUGGACGAAACUG
rnacentral:lncRNA from 1 species